CCUACGGGUGGCAGCAGUGGGGAAUAUUGCGCAAUGGGCGAAAGCCUGACGCAGCGACGCCGCGUGAGGGAUGAAGGUCUUCGGAUCGUAAACCUCUGUCAGCAGGGAAGAACGGUCACUGUGCUAAUCAGCAGUGAAUUGACGGUACCUGCAAAGGAAGCACCGGCUAACUCCGUGCCAGCAGCCGCGGUAAUACGGAGGGUGCGAGCGUUAAUCGGAAUUACUGGGCGUAAAGCGCUCGUAGGCGGUAUGGCAAGUCAAGGGUGAAAUCCCCGCGCUCAACGUGGGAACUGCCUUUGAAACUGGCAAACUGGAGUGUGUGAGAGGAGAGUGGAAUUCCAGGUGUAGGAGUGAAAUCCGUAGAUAUCUGGAGGAACAUCAGUGGCGAAGGCGACUAUCUGGAACAUAACUGACGCUGAGGAGCGAAAGCGUGGGUAGCAAACAGGAUUAGAUACCCUAGUAGUC
rnacentral:rRNA from 1 species